rnacentral:rRNA from 1 species
CCUACGGGAGGCAGCAGUGAGGAAUAUUGGUCAAUGGACGAAAGUCUGAACCAGCCAUGCCGCGUGCAGGAUGACGGCUCUAUGAGUUGUAAACUGCUUUUGUAUUAGGGUAAACACCCCUACGUGUAGGGGCUUGAAAGUAUAAUACGAAUAAGGAUCGGCUAACUCCGUGCCAGCAGCCGCGGUAAUACGGGGGAUGCAAGCGUUAUCCGGAUUUAUUGGGUUUAAAGGGUGCGUAGGCUGUGAGGUAAGUCAGCGGUGAAAUGCCCCCGCUCAACGGGGUGAAGUGCCAUUGAUACUGCCUUGCUGGAAUGCGGAUGCCGUGGGAGGAAUGUGUGGUGUAGCGGUGAAAUGCAUAGAUAUCACACAGAACACCGAUUGCGAAGGCAUCUCACGAAUCCGCGAUUGGCGCUGAUGCACGAAAGCGUGGGUAUCAAACAGGAUUAGAUACCCCAGUAGUC